rnacentral:rRNA from 1 species
AUGCCGUACACGCCGCUCGUCACCAAGGGCGGCAGCCCCGCGCACUACAUCUCCGUCAAGGCCAUCCAAGUGGAGGACACCCGCGUCUCCGUCUCAGAGCGCGUGCUCGCCACCGGCGGCGUGAUGCUCAGCACGAGGCUGCCCUACGCCUUGCUCCGCCACGACGUGUACCGCCCGUUGGUGGACGCGUUCACCAAGGCCCUGGCGGCGCAGCCUGCCAACGGAGCGCCCGUGGCGCGCGCCGUGAAGCCUGUGGCACCGUUCGAGCUGUGCUACGACACGAAGUCGCUGGGCAACAACCCCGGCGGGUACUGGGUGCCGAACGUCGGGCUGGCGCUCGACGGCGGGAGUGACUGGUGGAUGACUGGGAAGAACUUCAUGGUGGACGUCAAGCCGGGGACGGCGUGCGUUGCGUUCGUGGAGAUGAAGGGGGUGGAGGCCGGCGACGGCAGGGCGCCGGCGGUGAUCCUCGGAGGAGCCCAGUUGGAGGAGCUCGUGCUCGACUUCGACAUGGAGAAGAAGCGGCUCGGGUUUCUCAGGUUGCUACACUAUAUGGAUUGCAGCAGAUUCAAUUUCACUCGAAGCGCUUAG